rnacentral:lncRNA from 13 species
GGCUCAGACACUUCCAGACCAUGUCAUAUUGAGACUCUGUUUUUUAAAUCUGCAGAAUGGGUAUACAAAGGAUUCCUGUUUCCUACCAUUGAGGCAAGGAGCAGAUGCAAUGUGCAAAGAAAGGUCUUUACACAAAGCUAUGAAGAGAUUGUCUGGCCUCAUGGGAGAUGAGGAAACUGAGGCGUUGAGAAGUUCAGUUACCAGUAAGUGGCCAGGCUGGGAUUUAAGCCCGAGCAUCUGGCCCUGGAGGCUGCAUGCUCAGCUGUCACUGGGCACCCUGAGCUCUUGCCACCGCUCUGAGGGCUUUACGUGCUUGUCUUGUGUAAUCCUUACAGCAGACCUAGAAGAUAGGAACUACUGGUAUCCAAAGAAACCAAGGCUGAGAGAAGGUAAGCAGCGUGCCCAAGGUGACAGAGCAGCAAAGCAGGCUGGGAUUCCAAUCCACGCAGCCUGCUUUGGUCCCUCACCACCACACUCUAAGCCUCCCAUCUCUUUUUUAUAAGAAAUAAGGAUCGUUCAUCAGCAGAAACGGUUCAACCUAAGUUGUUGCUUGCAUUAACUCCCUUCCACGAUUCUAGUUCUUUUCUUUGGGAGGUUCUUCUUUGGGUUCAACAGGAAUCUAUCAUAUAACAUAAGAACAAGAAUGGAGAGGGCUCAGCAUUGGUUUCUCUAAGCCCGUGUUUCAUAGAAUCCAAGAUGCCCUUGGCCAAAAGGGGCCUCCUGAGGUCACUGACCCCACCUUCUGGCCUCCAGGCAAGACUCCCUUCAACACAGCCUUGCUGUCCUGAUGACGUCUUUUUUUACGAUUGUUUCCAGGGAGUGAGUGAGUAUCUUCCAUGUGAAAGUACAAAGGGCUGGCUGGCACCUCUGAUAGGGUACCCUGAGUUAUCUGAAACUAUGGCCUGAGGGCCUGAAAGUGCAGGUGACAAAGGGUUCUGGGCAGGGACUAUCUGGACAGCCCCAGCAAAAAUAACCCCCAAGGCCCUGCCAGCCCCGCCCCCGUCCUCUGAUGCCAAGUGCAGAUGACAGCCUGAAAACAAUUUGUCCGGCCUGUGAGUAAUGUGUAGUAACUAAAUGCUAAUUAAUUUGCUGUUGCAUUUGAGUUAAUUUAUGGGGUGUUCUCUUCACCAAGUAAAUUUUAAUUAAGAAGAGUAAAACAAACGACAAAGUAAUUUCCAAAAAAUUAAUUUCCAGUAAACACAAGCCAUUGUUUUUCUUUGUAUCAAUAAUGAAAGUUAAAGUGAAGCCUCUCUAACGCCCCCUCCCCCAACUCCCCCACUCUAAAAGAUGGAGUUUGAGCCCGAGCCAGGCUCUUGGAGCGUAAAGACAGUCGUGCAAAUUAGCAGCCAGGCAGGGCCAAAAGGAACUGGGCAGAGAGCCCGAGAGAAACCAGGCAACAGACCUCAAAGAAAUGCAACAGUUGCUACUCCUUUGGUGUUCAUUGUGUAUAAUUUUCAUCCAACUCUGCACUUUUUAGGAGCUGGGAAGGGGAAAAGUGCACUACUCUUGCUUCUGAUAAAAUACUACAUGGGGGAGCAGAAGGACAAGACAUUUUAUCAUAUUUUUUAAAAUUAAUCAAAUUGCAUAAACAAAUAAGAAAAGAAGAAAGUAAGAAAGCAUCUACGUUGCCAACUUUCCCAAGCAUUGCACUGGGAAAUUUUACAUAGCUUCUCCCAUUUGUCUAACAAUUCUCAGAGGAAGGCAGUUACUACCAGCUCCCAUAUUACAGAUGAAUAAACUGAGAGUUUUAGAGCUGGCCCA